UUGUCCUGUCCGCGAGAAAACAGGAGAUUGAAGUUCAUGUCGGUUCAAUAUCUACUGAGCCGGAGUGUAAAUUCUCGACUAUAAUCCAUUUCCUGCUUCGAAGUACUUCUCUUGAAGAGAAAACGGGGCUCAAAUUGCCAGAUGCGAAGCUAACAAGCACCCACAAAUGGAGAACCGCGGGCGCUCCGUACAUUGCGAUUUGAGACUCCGCAGACCGACUAUAAUCUAUCGGGACAGACCAACGCAAGCUUCUCUUUAAUUCCGCCGACAAUUCCGCACUAGGCGAUGAUGAACUGGGCUUGAUUCUCAACUGGGUCUAUGACCCAUAUGACAGAAAACUGCUCUCUCUAGUCUGCAAGCAAUGGCCGAGUGUGGAGGAUCUUGCCCUGUUAUCCUUACGGGUUGUCGAACCCGAUUCCCUCCGUGGUCUCUUACCAAGCUAGUUCCCAAAUUUAGUCACAUUUGAAUGCUCAGGACCGAUAGCCGAUAUUGACCUUAAAUUCUUAACCCAAACAUGUGCCAAAAUCGAGGCCCUCAACUUUAAUUGAACCCCCCACAUGGAGAUUCCAAUGAGGUUGAUCAAGUGUUGGGUUGUGAUGAUGUUGGUGACGAUGGUUCAUGUGCUUUAGCACUUGGGUGCCGGAAAUUGUCAUAAGUUUUACAACGGAGGAGGAAGAAUAUUGGGGAUGUUGGAGUUGUUUUGCUUAUUAACUUGGCUCCAGCUUUGACUAAUUUGGAUUUGAGUUGGUGCAAUUUGAUUACGGAUAAAGCUCUUGCAGCGGUUGGGAGGUCAGGUUCUAUCAGAACUUAGAAUUUGCAAGGAUGUUCUUUAAUUACCGAUGGUGGACUGGCGUCUUUGGAAACAAUGCUUUUGUCAAGGUCUUUGAAAAAGUUGUUCUGGCAGAAUGUGAUCAAAUUGCCGCUAACGGGUUUUCCGUCUGUUGCAAAUGUAUUGCUUGGAGGAGCUAAAUCUGGCAGAAUGCGGCCAAAAGUCAUGGAAAUUGGAUGUGUGGCAUUUGCUGCAAUAUAAACUCUCAGUCUCAAGAGACUAAACUUGUCAUGGUUCAUUAAUGUAUCGGAUCCUACACUUUUUACGCUUGUUAAGAAUUGCUGAAAGCUGGUCGUUGUUGAUUUGAUAGUUUGCGAGUUAAUAACGGGAGUCAGAAUUCGUGCCUUUUCAAAUCAUGCCUGUUUAGAACCUCGUGUUGACUUCUUGUUACAACAUUGAUGUUUAUGAUUUGGAGCAUAUGGUGCUUGGAUGUCUCUCAUUGAGGUGCAUUGUGCUAGAUAAAGGUCUAAACAACGUGGAUACCUAAAAUGUUGCAAGAGAACAUUGGCAGAUUCUGUGAUUUAUAUUGGAGGUGAUUCGAUAAACCAACAACACAUUUUAUUUAGGUGGUUAGGAUUAUAUCAAGGCUAGUGAAAAUUUGUGUCAUCCCCUGCCUCUUGAUAUGGCGAGUAAUUGCAAGCUUUUGUGUCUUGUUUCUAUGGGCUUAAUUCUAUUAAGAUAACGUGCAUUUUUAUGCUUUCAAAUAAUGUGUCAUCUCCUGCCUCAUGAGUUUGUACAUGUCAAUACCACAGUCAUGAUAAUUGAUGCCU